UCCUUGAUGGUCUAGUGGUUAUGAUUUCCGCUUGUCAAGAAUUCCUUACAAGCGCGGGAGACCAGGGUUCGAUUCCCUGUCAGGGAG